rnacentral:rRNA from 1 species
UACGAAGGGGGCUAGCGUUGCUCGGAAUCACUGGGCGUAAAGCGCACGUAGGCGGAUCUUUAAGUCAGGGGUGAAAUCCCAAGGCUCAACCUUGGAACUGCCUUUGAUACUGGGGGAUCUCGAGUCCGGAAGAGGUGAGUGGAACUGCGAGUGUAGAGGUGAAAUUCGUAGAUAUUCGCAAGAACACCAGUGGCGAAGGCGGACUCGA